UACGGAGGGGGUUAGCGUUGUUCGGAAUGACUGGGCGUAAAGCGCGCGUAGGCGGAUCAUCAAGUCGGGGGUGAAAUCCCGGGGCUCAACCCCGGAAUGGCCUUCGAGACUGGUGGUCUUGAGUUCGAGAGAGGUGAGUGGAAUUCCGAGUGUAGAGGUGAAAUUCGUAGAUAUUCGGAGGAACACCAGUGGCGAAGGCGACUCACUGGCUCGACACUGACGCUGAGGUGCGAAAGCGUGGGGAGCAAACAGG
rnacentral:rRNA from 1 species